AGCGGUGUGGAGGAGUGGCUACCUCGUGGGUCUCAUAAUCCCAAGAUCACUGGUUCGAUCCCAGUCACCGCCA
rnacentral:tRNA from 1 species